AUCUUUUCGGGCCAAUUAUGGUGAAACAGAGAAGAAGCCAGGUAAAGAGGUACGGCUGUAUUUUUACCUGUUUGACGUCGCGUGUCGUACACAUUGAGAUCGUAGAUUCGUUGGACACGGACUCGUUUUUGAAUGGCCUUAGGCGUUUUAUUGGCAGACGAGGGAAUCCGAAGAUUAUACGAAGUGACAACGGCACAAAUUUUAAGUGCGGAGAACGUGAACUUCGCGAAGCUAUUGGUAAAUGGAAUGAAAAAAAGAU